GUGGCUGGCCAGAGUUUCUGCAAUAACAAUCUAUACAUGCUAACUAAGGCAGCUGCCUACCUUGGCCGGCAGGUAGGCAGGCAGGAAGCCUUAUCAGUUGUGAGCGAGGACCAGUCGUUGUUUGAGUGUGCCUACGGAACGCCACACCUGGCUAAGACAGAAAUGACCGCGUCCUCCUCCAGCGACUAUGGACAGACUUCCAAGAUGAGCCCACGCGUCCCUCAGCAGGAUUGGCUGUCUCAACCCCCAGCCAGGGUCACCAUCAAAAUGGAAUGUAACCCUAGCCAGGUGAACGGCUCAAGGAACUCUCCUGAUGAAUGCAGUGUGGCCAAAGGCGGGAAGAUGGUGGGCAGCCCAGACACCGUUGGGAUGAACUACGGCAGCUACAUGGAGGAGAAGCACAUGCCACCCCCAAACAUGACCACGAACGAGCGCAGAGUUAUCGUGCCAGCAGAUCCUACGCUAUGGAGUACAGACCAUGUGCGGCAGUGGCUGGAGUGGGCGGUGAAAGAAUAUGGCCUUCCAGACGUCAACAUCUUGUUAUUCCAGAACAUCGAUGG
rnacentral:sRNA from 1 species